rnacentral:rRNA from 1 species
UACGAAGGGGGCUAGCGUUGUUCGGAAUUACUGGGCGUAAAGCGUGCGCAGGCGGUUUUGUAAGACAGAGGUGAAAUCCCCGGGCUCAACCUGGGAACUGCCUUUGUGACUGCAAAGCUAGAGUACGGUAGAGGGGGAUGGAAUUCCGCGUGUAGCAGUGAAAUGCGUAGAUAUGCGGAGGAACACCGAUGGCGAAGGCAAUCCCCUGGACCUGUACUGACGCUCAUGCACGAAAGCGUGGGGAGCAAACAGG